rnacentral:rRNA from 1 species
CCUACGGGUGGCAGCAGUGGGGAAUAUUGCACAAUGGGGGAAACCCUGAUGCAGCGACGCCGCGUGAAGGACGAAGUAUUUCGGUACGUAAACUUCUAUCAGCAGGGAAGAAAAUGACGGUACCUGACCAAGAAGCACCGGCUAACUACGUGCCAGCAGCCGCGGUAAUACGUAGGGGGCAAGCGUUAUCCGGAUUUACUGGGUGUAAAGGGAGCGUAGACGGCGGUGCAAGCCAGAUGUGAAAGCCCGGGGCUCAACCCCGGGACUGCAUUUGGAACUGUGCUGCUAGAGUGUCGGAGAGGCAGGCGGAAUUCCUAGUGUAGCGGUGAAAUGCGUAGAGAUUAGGAGGAACACCAGUGGCGAAGGCGGCCUGCUGGACGAUGACUGACGUUGAGGCGCGAAAGCGUGGGGAGCAAACAGGAUUAGAUACCCGGGUAGUC